GGCCCCUUAGCUCAGUUGGUUAGAGCAGGCGACUCAUAAUCGCUUGGUCACUGGUUCAAGUCCAGUAGGGGCCA
rfam:Proteus penneri ATCC 35198 genomic scaffold Scfld3, whole genome shotgun sequence.